AGAAUCAACGCUGGCAGCGUGCCUAACACAUGCAAGUCGAACGAGAAAGGGGUAGCAAUACCCUGAGUAAAGUGGCGCACGGGUGAGUAACACGUGAUUAACCUACCCUGGAGUGGGGGAUAACUGAGGGAAACCUUAGCUAAUACCGCAUAACACCUACGGGUCAAAGGAGCAAUUCGCUUCAGGAGGGGGUCGCGGCCGAUUAGUUAGUUGGCGGGGUAAUGGCCCACCAAGACGAUGAUCGGUA
rnacentral:rRNA from 1 species